GUGCUCGCUUCGGCAGCACAUAUGCUAAAAUUGGAACGAUACAGAGAAAAUUAGCAUGACCCCUGCAUAAGGAUGACACGCAAAUUUGUGAGGCAUUCCAUAUUUUU